CGCCGCGUGGAGGAUGAAGUCCCUUGGGAUGUAAACUCCUUUCGAUCGGGACGAUAAUGACGGUACCGGAAGAAGAAGCACCGGCUAACUCUGUGC
rnacentral:rRNA from 1 species